GGACUACAAGGGUUUCUAAUCCCGUUUGCUCCCCUGGCUUUCGCGCCUCAGCGUCAGUAGAGGUCCAGCAGUGCGCUUUCGCCACCGGCGUUCCUUCCGAUAUCAACGCAUUUCACCGCUCCACCGGAAGUUCCCACUGCCCCUACCUCCCUCGAGGCUCCCAGUAUCCAAGGCACUUCCCCAGUUGAGCUGGGGGCUUUCACCCCGGACUUGAGAACCCGCCUACGCGCCCUUUAAGCCCAGUGAUUCCGAACAACGUUCGCACGGUUCGUCUUACCGCGGCUGCUGGCAC
rnacentral:rRNA from 1 species